rnacentral:rRNA from 1 species
AGUGAACGCUGGCGGUAGGCCCAACACAUGCAAGUUGAACGGCAGCACAGGAGGGCUUGCUCUCUGGGUGGCGAGUGGCGGACGGGUGAGGAAUACAUCGGACUCUACUUUUUCGUGGGGGAUAACGUAGGGAAACUUACGCUAAUACCGCAUACGAGCUACGGGUGAAAGCAGGGGAUCUUCGGACCUUGCGCGAUUGAAUGAGCCGAUGUCGGAUUAGCUAGUUGGCGGGGUAAAGGCCCACCAAGGCGACGAUCCGAAGCUGGUCUGAGAGGAUGAUCAGCCACACUGGAACUGAGACACGGUCCAGACUCCUACGGGAGGCAGCAGUGGGGAAUAUUGGACAAUGGGCGCAAGCCUGAUCCAGCCAUACCGCGUGGGUGAAGAAGGCCUUCGGGUUGUAAAGCCCUUUUGUUGGGAAAGAAAUCCAGCUGGUUAAUACCCGGUUGGGAUGACGGUACCCAAAGAAUAAGCACCGGCUAACUUCGUGCCAGCCGCCGCCGUAA